AUGGAAAAAAAAAAAACCCUCCUUCCUCCAGAAAGGUCACCGGCAGAUGCGAGCGCGUUGCGGCCGCCUCACACCCACUCGCCUCCCCCCACGGGGCGCAGCGCCCGUCUCGGUGCUCGCAUCUCCGCCCUCGCGGCUCGCUGGGCUUGGAGGGGCUCCAAGAGCAGCCGGGGCAGGCUGCAGCGUUGCUUCGUGCUGACUUACCCUGAAAACCUUCCCCCAGAAGGAGCACAAAGCUCGGGGCUGAGCCCCGUCUCCGCUCCCUGCUCGCUCCCUCUCGCUCCAGCGCAGAGGCACAGUGCAGGUCCUGCACAAAACUCCGCUUUAUUAAAAAUUACUGCAGGGAGAGAGAGGGGAUGGGGCCGUUCCUUGCACGAAGGGGGAAGGAAUCUGCUGCUGGUGCCCCGAAAUCGUGCCCUGAGCACAUCCCUUAGCACACGGGGCAUGGCAUGGCCCCCAAAUGUUGUCCCCCUUCAAGGCGAACGCCUCAAAUGGCACAAAAGUGGGGUCUGGAGAGGGCACGGCCCUGCUGGGGAUGGGACAACCCCACAGGACAACCUGCCUGGCCGCACAGGGCUCCAAAUGCAGUGGGACCCUGCGUCUCCCUGCUCCCGCAGUGCCACCGAGGGGCUCAGGGUCCCAGGCGCUGACUCGCCCCAGCCACCCCCGUGCUGCGUCCCCUGGGGAGAGGCUCCCAAGGUCCAGACAGAUGGGCAGGGGGCGAGGAGCCGCUUUCAGCUGCUUUUUUGUUCUCCCUCUGCGCAUCCCACGGGGAGAGCUGUCCCCGUCCCCGUCCCCAUCCCUGUCCCCAUCCGGGCCCCUCCGCCGCGGCUGCCCGGCUCCGACGCUCUCAUUUACGACCUGUUGGGGGAUAAAAGGGGCUUGUUGGCGGCGGCGAGCAACUGGUGUGCGGGGACAACUGUUGCCAUCUGUCUGCUGGGGCGGUGGGGGGGGGGCCACUGCUGGGGCUGGGUUUUGUUUCCCCUUUCAUGCACCACUAAACUUUGCACCUUUUGUUUCCCAGCGAAGGGUUUGAGAGAGCCAGGGAGAAAAGGAGGCCUCCCCGCGCCGCGCAGGUCAGGGCAGAGCUCGCUCAGCUCGCCGGGGGAUUUGCAUACGAUUCUUAUUAAAUAUUAUAAUAGUAAUUACUGUUAUUUCAGGAGUCUGUCAGCAUUGGGCAACCUGAACCCCUCCGUCCUCCCCCUGCACCCUGGAGGCGUCCUGGCACGUCCUGUGCCGCCGCGCUGUGGGUGGCAUCUGAUGGUAGCGGGGCACAAACCUUGGGGACAGGAGGCUGUGUGCCCCUCGAGCAGCAGCAGUGCCCUGUAA
rnacentral:lncRNA from 1 species